GACAGAGGAAAAGCAGAACCGUGGUUUCCAGUGAGUUCCACCCCACCGCCCCCAAGGAAUACGCUGUAAUCCAGGAGGUAAACCAGAGGGCUGUUGAGAUCUGCUGUAAGAGCACAGAGAAGUCACGCCCCAGUCGGCAUAAAGUCCCGGACCGGCUGCACACUACCACGGACGGACCCAGGGCAAGGUCACAGCCGCCCGGUGAUCCCUUGAGCACAGAUCCCCAGGAAGGGCACCACGAACACGGUGCUCAUGGAUUGGUGCUUCUGCACCCAACGCUUGGAAGACGACACUUGGAAGAUGACCCGGGAGAGAAGCAGAGGACCAGCACAGGCCAGGAGCAAGGCCCUGCAGAAGGCUCGUCGGGGAAAGGAUCUGCAGCUAAGUGACACGGAACUUGUAAAAUCCAACACUAAGACAUCAAACAACUUUGAUUUAAAAAACGAGCCAAAGAUGUGAACAGACAGCACCUCAUCAAAGGGGACAUCCAGACGGCACACACGCACACGAAGAUAUGCUGAGGUCUGCAAGUCAUCAGGGAACUGGAGCCUAAGUCUGCUUGAGAAAAGGACAUUUACAGGGGCACCUGGGGGGUUCCGCUGGUUAAGCAUCUGCCUUGGGCUCGGGUCAUGAUCCUGA